AUGAGGACCAUGUGCUGGAUCUAUCACAGAAUUGGCGAUCCUGCAAUAGUUAGUGAGCUCCAUGAACUCGUGGAGGAAUGUGCGGUGUCGAUCCUUUGCAUUGUUGAAACUUAGCUUGCGAAGGCCCGAGUGGAGGGAUUGGCUGGUUCAUUAGGUUUUUCGGGUUGUUUAGCAGUUCCCAGUAGCAGUCGUAGUGGUGGUUUAUAUUUUUUUGGAAAGACCAUGUUAAUCUGGCAAUAA
rnacentral:rRNA from 1 species